rnacentral:rRNA from 1 species
UACGUAGGGUGCAAGCGUUGUCCGGAAUUAUUGGGCGUAAAGAGCUCGUAGGCGGUUCGUCGCGUCGGCUGUGAAAUCCCGAGGCUCCAACCUCGGGUCUGCAGUCGAUACGGGCGGACUGGAGUUCGGCAGGGGAGACUGGAAUUCCUGGUGUAGCGGUGAAAUGCGCAGAUAUCAGGAGGAACACCGGUGGCGAAGGCGGGUCUCUGGGCCGAUACUGACGCUGAGACGCGAAAGCGUGGGGAGCGAACAGG